GUCUAUGGCUGUACCACCCUGAAUGAGCCCAAUCUCGUCAGCUCUCAGAAGCUAAGCAGGCUUGGGCCUGGCUAGUACUUGGAUGGGAGAGCAACUGGGAAUACCCGAUGCCGUAGGCU
rnacentral:rRNA from 1 species